rnacentral:rRNA from 1 species
UACGGAGGAUGCGAGCGUUAUCCGGAUUUAUUGGGUUUAAAGGGUGCGUAGGCGGGUUAUCAAGUCAGCGGUAAAAUCGUGGAGCUCAACUCCAUCCAGCCGUUGAAACUGAUGAUCUUGAGUGGGCGAGAAGUAUGCGGAAUGCGCGGUGUAGCGGUGAAAUGCAUAGAUAUCACGCAGAACUCCGAUUGCGAAGGCAGCAUACCGGCGCCCGACUGACGCUGAGGCACGAAAGCGUGGGUAUCGAACAGG